rnacentral:sRNA from 1 species
UACGCUCGGGGAUUCACUCGGGCCUUCCUGAACCUCCUAAAAAGUGGGACAAACCAGUACCCACCUCCAGAGCUCACUGAAGAAUGUGGGGGCCUACACCGUGGGGACACUGUGCUGCAAUUAGUCACACCUGUCAACAGGUUGCCCAGGCACCAGUUUGGUAUGUCUGGCUUGGCUGAUGAUUUGGAAGCACUUGAAGCAACAGGCGUUUUUCUAGAAGAGAAGAGAAAAGACAUCACAACAUCUAUAACUCAGCAAGAAGCACUUGAAAAUUAUGAAAAUAACAAAUAUGACAUUGAAGAAAAUGAACAAGAAACACCAGCAAAACAAAAAGGAACUAGAAAAGAAAUAAAUGCAGACACUACCUUUGGUAAAAACCAAACUACUUCUUGGUCCUUAAGUUGGAUUCACUUUUUUCAUUUUUAACUUUUUCUUAAAAAAAAUCCUGUGCACUGUGCUAGCAUGCAAUUUUUUUUUAAAUUCACUUUGCUUACAAAUCCACAGGUUCAUGUAUGCAGCUAAAGAAAAUAGUUUAAAAAGAAAGACAGACAAAGGCUAACUUUCACCUGGCUGU